UAUCUGGUUGAUCCUGCCAGUAGUCAUAUGCUUGUCUCAAAGAUUAAGCCAUGCAUGUCUAAGUACAUACCGCAUUAAGGUGAAACCGCGAAUGGCUCAUUAAAUCAGUUAUGAUCUAUUGGAUGUUGACCAAUUACAUGGAUAACUGUGGUAAUUCUAGAGCUAAUACAUGCCGAAAAGCUCCAUCGCAAGGUGGGGUGCAUUUAUUAGACCAAGACCAAAAGGUGGAAACACCUUGUUGUGGUGACUCUGAAUAACUGCAGCUGAUCGCAUGGCCUCGUGCCGGCGACAUAUCCUUCGAGUGUCUGCCUUAUCAACUUUCGAUGGUAGGUUAUAUGCCUACCAUGGUUGUAACGGGUAACGGGGAAUCAGGGUUCGAUUCCGGAGAGGGAGCCUGAGAGAUGGCUACCACAUCCAAGGAAGGCAGCAGGCGCGCAAAUUACCCAAUCUUGGAACAAGGAGGUAGUGACGAAAAAUAACAAUACGGGCUUCGCUUACGCGUUCUCGUAAUUGGAAUGAGCACAGUUUAAAUCCUUUAGCGAGGAUCAAUUGGAGGGCAAGUCUGGUGCCAGCAGCCGCGGUAAUUCCAGCUCCAAUAGCGUAUAUUAAAGUUGUUGUGGUUAAAAAGCUCGUAGUUGGAUCUCAGCCCAAGUGCAUUGGUCCAUCAUGACGAUGGUUACUGGUGUGCUGGGCACUUUACCGUUCACGUGCUAUGGUGUUCUUAACCGGGCGUCAUAGUCGUACGGUAGUUUUACUUUGAAAAAAUUAGAGUGCUCAAAGCAGGCAUCAUCGCCUGAAUACUGUUGCAUGGAAUAAUAGAAUAGGACCUUGGUUCUGUUCUGUUGGUCUUCGGAUCCGAGGUAAUGAUUAAGAGGGACGGACGGGGACAUUAGUACUGCGGCGAUAGAGGUGAAAUUCUUGGACCGCCGCAUGACUAACCAAAGCGAAAGCAUUUGUCAAGAACGUUUUCAUUAAUCAAGAACGAAAGUUAGAGGUUCGAAGGCGAUCAGAUACCGCCCUAGUUCUAACCAUAAACGAUGCCAACUAGCAAUCAGCCAGAGUUCGUUUAUGACUCGGCUGGCGGCUUCCGGGAAACCAAAGUUUUUCGGUUCCAGGGGAAGUAUGGUUGCAAAGCUGAAACUUAAAGGAAUUGACGGAAGGGCACCACCAGGAGUGGAGCCUGCGGCUUNNNNUGGUGGUGCAUGGCCGUUCUUAGUUGGUGGAGCGAUUUGUCUGGUUAAUUCCGAUAACGAACGAGACUCUAGCCUACUAAAUAGCAAUCGGAAUUCGUUUCGACUUCCGAUCCAAGCUUCUUAGAGGGACAAACGGCGUUUCAGCCGUAUGAAAAAGAGCAAUAACAGGUCUGUGAUGCCCUUAGAUGUCCGGGGCCGCACGCGCGCUACACUGAAAAGAUCAGCGUGCAUAUGUUACCUACUCCGAAAGGAGCGGGCAACCCAGUGAAACUUUUUCGUGAUUGGGAUUGGGGAUUGUAAUUAUUGUCCAUGAACGAGGAAUUCCCAGUAAGCACAAGUCAUCAGCUUGUGUUGAUUACGUCCCUGCCCUUUGUACACACCGCCCGUCGCUACUACCGAUUGGAUGUUUUAGUGAGGUCUUCGGACUGGCCAACGUAGCCAUCCUCGUGGUGGCCAUGUUGUGCGGGAAAGAUGACCAAACUUGAACAUCUAGAGGAAGUAAAAGUCGUAACAAGGUUUCCGUAGGUGAACCUGCGGAAGGAUCAUUA
rfam:Sarcoptes scabiei Contig13748, whole genome shotgun sequence.